rnacentral:rRNA from 1 species
AGUGAACGCUGGCGAUAGGCCUAACACAUGCAAGUCGAACGGCAGCACAGUAAGAGCCUGCUCUUACGGGUGGCGAGUGGCGGACGGGUGAGGAAUACAUCGGAAUCUACUUUUUCGUGGGGGAUAACGUAGGGAAACUUACGCUAAUACCGCAUACGACCUACGGGUGAAAGCAGGGGAUCUUCGGACCUUGCGCGAUUGAAUGAGCCGAUGUCGGAUUAGCUAGUUGGCGGGGUAAAGGCCCACCAAGGCGACGAUCCGUAGCUGGUCUGAGAGGAUGAUCAGCCACACUGGAACUGAGACACGGUCCAGACUCCUACGGGAGGCAGCAGUGGGGAAUAUUGGACAAUGGGCGCAAGCCUGAUCCAGCCAUACCGCGUGGGUGAAGAAGGCCUUCGGGUUGUAAAGCCCUUUUGUUGGGAAAGAAAAGCAGCAGGUUAAUACCCCGCUGUUCUGACGGUACCCGAAGAAUAAGCACCGGCUAACUUCGUG